CCUGUUUGCUCUCUCUGGGGCCUG
rnacentral:piRNA from 1 species